rnacentral:rRNA from 1 species
UACGGAGGGAGCUAGCGUUGUUCGGAAUUACUGGGCGUAAAGCGCACGUAGGCGGCUUUGUAAGUUAGAGGUGAUAGCCUGGAGCUCAACUCCAGAAUUGCCUUUAAGACUGCAUCGCUUGAAUCCAGGAGAGGUGAGUGGAAUUCCGAGUGUAGAGGUGAAAUUCGUAAUAUUCGGAAGAACACCAGUGGCGAAGGCGUCUCACUGGACUGGUAUUGACGCUGAGGUGCGAAAGCGUGGGGAGCAAACAGGAUUAAUACACCUGGUAGUCAAGGGCG